rnacentral:rRNA from 1 species
AACGAACGCUGGCGGCAUGCCUAACACAUGCAAGUCGAACGAGACCUUCGGGUCUAGUGGCGCACGGGUGCGUAACGCGUGGGAACCUGCCCUUAGGUUCGGAAUAACUCCCCGAAAGGGGUGCUAAUACCGGAUAAUGUCUUCGGACCAAAGAUUUAUCGCCUUUGGAUGGGCCCGCGUUGGAUUAGCUAGUUGGUAGGGUAAAAGCCUACCAAGGCGACGAUCCAUAGCUGGUCUGAGAGGAUGAUCAGCCACACUGGGACUGAGACACGGCCCAGACUCCUACGGGAGGCAGCAGUGGGGAAUAUUGGACAAUGGGCGAAAGCCUGGUACAGCAAUGCCGCGUGAGUGAUGAAGGCCUUAGGGUUGUAAAGCUCUUUUACCCGGGAUGAUAAUGACAGUACCGGGAGAAUAAGCUCCGGCUAACUCCGUG